rnacentral:rRNA from 1 species
AUUGAACGCUGGCGGCAUGCCUUACACAUGCAAGUCGAACGGUAACAGGUCUUCGGCUUCUGACGAGUGGCGGACGGGUGCGUAAUACAUCGGAACGUGCCCGAUCCUGGGGGUUAACGAGGCGAAAGCUUUGCUAAUACCGCAUACGAUCUACGGCGGACAACGGGGGAUCUUCGGACCUCUUCCGGCCGGAGCGGCCGAUGUCAGAUUAGGUAGUUGGUGGGAUAAAGGCUUACCAAGGCGACGAUCUGUAGCUGGUCUGAGAGGAUGAUCGGCCACACUGGGACUGAGACACGGCCCAGACUCCUACGGGAGGCAGCAGUGGGGAAUUUUGGACAAUGGGCGAAAGCCUGAUCCAGCCAUGCCGCGUGCAGGAUGAAGGCCUUCGGGUUGUAAACUGCUUUUGUACGGAAAGAAAAGCAUCUUGCUAAUAAAGAGGGGUCAUGACGGUACCGAAAGAAUAAGCACCGGCUAACUACGUG